UACGUAGGGGGCAAGCGUUGUCCGGAAUCAUUGGGCGUAAAGCGCGCGUAGGCGGCCCGAUAAGUCCGCUGUAAAAGUCAACGGCUCAACUGUUGAACGCCGGUGGAUACUGUCGGGCUAGAGUCCGGAAGAGGCAAGUGGAAUUCCUGGUGGUAGCGGUGGAAUGACGCAGAUAUCAGGAGGAACACCAAUAGCGAAGGCAGCUUGCUGGGACGGUAUUGACGCUAAGGCGCGAAAGCGUGGGGAGCGAACGAGG
rnacentral:rRNA from 1 species